UCCGGUUUGGCACCGGCAGUCUCCCAUGAGUCCCCGGCUUUACCCGCUGGCAACAUGGGACAGGGGUUGCGCUCGUUGCGCCACUUAAGGCAACACCUCACGGCACGAGCUGACGACGGCCAUGCAACACCUGUGCGGGCUCCCGAAGGAGGACCGUAUUUCUACGGCUUCACCCCGCAUGUCAAGCCCUGGUAAGGUUCUUCGCGUUGCGUCGAAUUAAGCCACAUGCUCCGCCGCUUGUGCGGGCCCCCGUCAAUUCCUUUGAGUUUCAGCCUUGCGGCCGUACUCCCCAGGCGGGACACUUACUGCGUUAGCGACGGCACCGGGAGGGUCGCUCCCCCCGACAGCUAGUUAUCAUCGUUUACGGCGUGGACUAC
rnacentral:misc_RNA from 1 species